UAUAUAUAUAUAUAUGUCCUAAGAAGGCAAAAAUGCCAAUUUGGUCCGUGACCUAUCAAAAUUAUACUUUAGUCCCUAGAUGAGCCAAUUACCAAUACAAGUCUCCAAAAGACAUCUAACAAGUCAAUUGCAUCUCGAGCUGGGUUUUUAAAAAAAAUGUCAAUUUGGUCCAUGAUCUAUUAAAAUUGCAUUCUAGUCCUCGCAUGGACUAAUUAUAAAUACUACUCAUACCUUCUAUACCCCGGUCGGUAAGUUAACACUAUCUCCUCUCUCUUUUGCUGCUAUCACAGGGAUACUUCACAGGUAUCCCUGUGCCCUUCGAUGAUGCAAUUCAUGACCAGUGCUCUGAUGUCCAAGAGUGCUAUAUUAUAGAUUUAUUUGAGUUCUUGCGGGCAUGCAUGAACACUCGUGGCAUUGCCUACCAGAGCAUUCCUCUCCAUUACAGGGGCUUCAUGCCUCAAAAUGCUUGAGAGGUGGAUCAGAUGGUCUGAGCCUUCUUUGUGUAUCUUUUUAGGACCACCCUGUUUAGUGACUCAAGAAACUCAUUGAACUUCCAUUAUUUGGCCCCUCUGCAGGAUCUAGACUAGGUCUUUUCCUAUAAUUGGGGAUCUGCGACUCUUACUUACUUGUACCACUAGAUGGACAUAUCCAUCCAUAGAAGUAAGAGGAUUUGCGGCUUCUAGCAUGCCAUACAUGUCUAGAUCUUGGAGAUUGGACUCUUAGUGGGCUCACAGCCUAUCAACACUUCUUGGGGUUUCCCGUGCUUGAGCCAUUAGGGCUCGAGUAUGAGCGUCCUUCUAGAGUGGGCGCAGGUCCAUGUGCAUCGCAUGUGGAUCAACUCCCUAACCCGGGACAAGAUUUAGAGCAAUUGGCUAGGGGAGCUCUGUCAUUGGGAUCCCUAUAUGCUUUUUGCUGCUGAUCUCGAGUAUAGGAGGAUCCUAUUGGCUGGACCUACUUGUCAGGCAUGGUACUUGGGUGAGAGGAUCUACAGAUAGGAGCGGGGGCCUAACAGACACCGAGUCCCCUUGUCUUCCACACCUCUCUAUGUUCCAGAUAGUGGAUCUUGCUAGGGAGGAGCUAGCAAUAUGCUUGGUGGGAUAUGAUGAGCUUGAGGAUCUCACCAUUCGGUCUCGGAGGACGGACUAUGCUUCCUUCAUCCCUCAACUGUUAGGAACUGUGCUGUUUGAUGAAGACACCAUGGCUCAGUUUAUCCGUCAUACCCCUAUUGCUUCUGAGUCGAUAGAGGGGCGAUCUGCCCGACACUCUAGGCUCUCCCAUAUCUCAAUCUCCUCUACCGAUGUUGCACUCAAAGCACCUCCUAUAGCCAUAUCGGAUGUGAUUCUAGGGAGCAUUUCAUUCCUCCCAAAUUUAAUGCUCUCGUAUUGGAGUCCUUAAGGUGCAAUAAAGCACUAGCUUGCCAUGGAGCAUUGCCUUUCGCCGAAGUUUACUCAGUGUACUUGUCCACACGUUCAGAGAGACCAAUUUGAGCACGUACGUCGAUUAGUCGGUGCUACAAGGAGGCAAUUCUUCAUCCUCGGUGAGGACUAGCGAGGACCAUGAAAGCUUGCAAGGCAGGUGAACGACAAACAAUAUAUAUAUUAAUGCCCAGUAACGCAGGAUUGAUACUCUAAUGCUUCAACUGUCCAUAUUGCGGACUUAAGGGAUGGACAUCGAUUUAGAUGAUGGGAUGAGGGAUUCGGGAGAGGACCCCGACCUUUGAUUUUUUUUCUAUCAUUACUUGACUUUUGCUCUUUUGCUAUUUUCUCCUCUAUACACUUCAAAUUUUUUAGAGGUAUAUAAAAUUAUGUGCUUUUGGUGUUUAAAUCCCUUUUCGCUCUUAAUUUCUUCUCUAUAUUGCACAUUUUAGACUUAGCACGACUAGGGCCUGAGAAAAUGCUCGAAAAACCUUCAAAAAGCUAAAAGAAAUGCACGAUGACAUCAUACAGCUGAUUCGGCUACAUGCUAAGCCGUUUUGGCUCUGCACACAAACGAUCGGCUGUGUGCUCAGGCGAUUCGAUUCUACAGUUGCAAAGUUUGAAUUUAACACUAAUUUUAGGCCUUUAAAUGUACAUGCACCCCUUACACUUUCUUGCAUGCGAUUUCAUUCUU